UACGUAGGUGGCAAGCGUUGUCCGGAUUUACUGGGCGUAAAGAGCGCGCAGGCGGUCGUUCAAGUCGCGUGUGAAAGCCCCCGGCUCAACUGGGGAGGGUCACGCGAUACUGAUCGACUCGAAGGAAGGAGAGGGUAGUGGAAUUCCCGGUGUAGUGGUGAAAUGCGUAGAUAUCGGGAGGAACACCGGUGGCGAAGGCGGCCAUCUGGACCGCAACUGACGCUGAGGCGCGAAAGCGUGGGGAGCAAACAGG
rnacentral:rRNA from 1 species